ACAGAAUAUUCCAUUCCCGCUGUGCCAGUGCCAGUGACUUUGCCUUGACAACAACCUGCAGCCAUAAAGCAAGUUUAAUUCUCUGACAAGAAGAUUGACAACAGCUAUCACUGAAUAUAUUGUUUACUGUAAUAUAUGGCAUUUUUCUCUGGAAACCCUGGAGUUGGUGUUUGCUGGGGCUGAUUGUAAACAAUGAGAUAGACCACAAUGGAUUUCAGUUCCUCCUCGAUGUUUGAUCAGCACAAAGGUGAUGCAGCAGAAGAGAUUGACCUGACUGUGGUUUAUCAAGCAGCAGCCAACGGCGAUGUGAACACCCUGACUGCGGUGAUCCGAGAAGAUCCUUCCAUCCUGGAAUGCUGCGACAGCGAGGGUUGCACACCUUUGAUGCAUGCUGUGUCAGGAUGCCAGGUUGAUACAGUGAAGCUUCUACUGAAGAUGGGAGCAAAUAUUAAUACUCAAGAUGCUUAUGGAUGAACCAGUUUAUCUCUGGCAACUUAUCUGGGCUGGCUAGAAGGCUGUGUCAGCCUGCUCAGAAAUGGUGCUAGACAGAACAUACCGGAUAAAAACGGAAGAUUGCCACUACAUGCUGCUACUGCAGAGCCCGAUGUGAGGCUUCUGAAUGUGCUUCUGCAGCAGUCAAAUCUUAGCAAAAUUAAUCAUCAGGACAAUGAGGUGAGUGAGCUUACACUGCA